rnacentral:rRNA from 1 species
CAGUAGCCACGGGAAUACGAAGGGUGCAAGCGUUACUCGGAAUUACUGGGCGUAAAGCGUGCGUAGGUGGUGGUUUAAGUCCGUUGUGAAAGCCCUGGGCUCAACCUGGGAAUUGCAGUGGAUACUGGGUCACUAGAGUGUGGUAGAGGAUAGUGGAAUUUCCGGUGUAGCAGUGUAAUGCGUAGAGAUCGGAAGGAACAUCUGUGGCGAAGGCGACUAUCUGGGCCAACACUGACACUGAGGCACGAAAGCGUGGGGAGCAAACAGGAUUAGAUACCCCUGUAGUCCCUGUCUCUUAUAC